GGAAGUUAAGAAACUGUUUCUUAACUUUUAACUAAAAAAAAGUAAGAACUGGUUCUUAAAUAAGGAUUUUAAAACCGAUUCUUAGUUUUUUUAGUUAAAAGUUAAGAAACAGUUGCUUAACUUCC
rfam:Brassica napus, WGS project CCCW01000000 data, contig: 7873